rnacentral:rRNA from 1 species
AUUGAACGCUGGCGGCAGGCUUAACACAUGCAAGUCGAACGAGUGGCGGACGGGUGAGUAAUGUAUGGGGAACUGCCCGAUAGAGGGGGAUAACUACUGGAAACGGUAGCUAAUACCGCAUACUAUCCGAUGAGCCCAUAUGGGAUUAGCUUGUAGGUGGGGUAAAGGCUCACCUAGGCGACGAUCCCUAGCUGGUCUGCGAGGAUGACCAGCCAAACUGGAACGGAGAAACGGUCCAGACCCCUACGGGAGGCAGCAGUGGGGAAUAUUGCACAAUGGGCGCAAGCCUGAUGCAGCCAUGCCGCGGGUAUGAAGAAGGCCUUCGGGUUGUAAAGUACUUUCAGCGGGGAGGCGUUACCCGCAGAAGAAGCACCGGCUAACUCCGUGCCAGCAGCCGCGGUAAUAC